UACGUAGGGUGCUAGCGUUAUCCGGAUUUAUUGGGCGUAAAGGGUGCGUAGGUGGUUUUUCAAGUCGGUGGUUAAAGACUACGGCUCAACCGUAUUAAGCCGCCGAAACUGGAAGACUUGAGUGCAGGAGAGGAAAGUGGAAUUCUCAGUGUAGCGGUGAAAUGCGUAGAUAUUGGGAAGAACACCAGUUGCGAAGGCGGCUUUCUGGACCGUAACUGACACUGAGGCACGAAAGCGUGGGUAGCGAACGGG
rnacentral:rRNA from 1 species